AGGGAAUCUUCCACAAUGGGCGAAAGCCUGAUGGAGCAACGCCGCGUGAGUGAAGAAGGAUUUCGGUUCGUAAAACUCUGUUGUAAGGGAAGAACAAUAAGUCAGGGAAUGGACCUACCUUGAAGGUACCCUAUUAAGAAGCCACGGCUAACUCAGUGCCAGCAGCCGCCGGUAAUACGUAGGUGGCAAGCGUUGUCCGGAAUUAUUGGGCGUAAAGCGCGCGCAGGUGGUUUCUUAAGUCUGAUGUGAAAGCCCACGGCUUAACCGUGGAGAGUCAUUGGAAACUGGGAGACUUGAGUGCAGAAGAGGAAAGUGGAAUUCCAAGUGUAGCGGUGAAAUGCGUAGAGAUUUGGAGGAACACCAGUGGCGAAGGCGACUUUCUGGUCUGCAACUGACGCUGAGGCGCGAAAGCAUGGGGAGCAAACA
rnacentral:rRNA from 1 species